AUGCAACAGUGCCCACAGGGUUUUGUGCAGCGUGUGGUGUUGAGGCACUUCGUGGAGGUUGGCCAAGUGGCUUACGUCUCCUUUGGGCCUCAUGCUGGAAAGCUGGUCGUGAUUGUAGAUGUUAUUGAUCAGAACAGGGCUCUGGUUGAAGGACCUUGCACACCCAGGUAAGACGACAGGCUAUGCCUUUUAAAAUGCAUGCAGCUCACUGAUUUCAUCCUCAAGUUCCCAGUGCCUGCGAGAAGUAUGCCUGAGAAGCCUGGCAGAAGACAGAUAAAUACAAAACGGGCAGCCAAAAGACGGGCCAAGAAGACUGGAGCCAGAGAAAGGAAAGCUAAGCUGACAGAUUUUGAUCAUUUUAAAGUCAUGAAGGCAAAGAAAAUAAGGAACAAAAUAAUCAACAAUGAUGCUAAGAUGCUUCAAAAGGCAGCUCCCCUGAAAGCUUCUCCUAAGAAAUCACCUACUAAGGGAGCUGCUGGAGUUGCAGCAGCUGCUGCUAACAUUCCAGCAAAAAAGAUGACCGCUGCAGGCAAGAAGGCUCCAGCCCAGAAAGCCACAGGUCAGAAGGCCUCCUCUGAAAGCUAAGAAGGGUCAAAAAGCUCCAUCCCAGAAAGCACCUGCUCCAAAGGCAUCUGGCAAGAGAGCAUAAGGGGAUAUUAUAAAAAUAAUAAAGGUACUUUUUGACUUGUUGGCAAAAAGAAAAAAAAAAAA